rnacentral:lncRNA from 1 species
UGGAAAAUACCACAAAACCUUUUGUGCAAUCUUUCUUUUCUCACCAGUUGGGUCAUUUUCUGAAGUACGCCAUCUUACCACAUUACAUGUCACACAUGAUUUUCGCUCCUUGUUCACUCCCCAAUAUAACAUGNCCUAGUUCCUUCCCUCAUAGUUACUCCCAGCGCUGACGACUUUGGUGCUGCCAAUUUUGCUUUACGCAUAUUUUACUCCUCAUCACUAGGAAUUAAUAAAGAUAACAAGAAAUAUGAUUGUUUCAUACACAUCCACAGAGGAAGAUUAUAUGGUAUUAGAACAACUGGCCAUGUACAAUGUGUCACACUUAUAUUACUAAAUAGAUUAAAUCCAUCUGAAGAUAAUCCAAACCUCACAUUUCGUGGAUCCUUGGCGAACUCUGGAUAUUUGCUAUUAAAUAUUUGCCAAGCGGGAGAAUCAACCGGAUGUCUCAUAUACCCAUCAUUUGUAUGACUUUUAGCAUGCCAUAGCAUGUGGCAUGCAGUUUUUGAUGACAUGAACAAGCGUCGCAAUCUAGGUUUAAUUGAAAAAUACCACAAAACCUUCUGUGCAAUCUUUCUUUCUCACCAGUUGGAUCAUUAUCUGAAGUACGCCAUCUUGCCACAUUACAUGCAAUCAUUAGGACAAGCAUCUAUCUUCUCAUAACCAAGGCCCAAGUCUUUCAUUAAUUUUUCAGAUUCGUAAUAUGACUUUGGUAAGUCGGCCAUUG